UCAUAGUAUCAAGCUUGGCUUGGUGUUGGGCCCUGUGUCACCUGGUGACAGGUCCGAAAGACAAUGACUGGUGUAACAGACUCCAGAUGCAACGAGCUUAUAACAGCACGCAUUUGGCAGUUGUGUGACCCGGUUUUAACCCUUUCUUUCUCAA
rnacentral:misc_RNA from 1 species